rnacentral:rRNA from 1 species
GAUGAACGCUAGCGGGAGGCCUAACACAUGCAAGCCGAGCGGUAUUGUUUCUUCGGUACUGCGAGAGCGGCGUACGGGUGCGUAACACGUGUGCAACCUGCCUUUAUCUGGGGGAUAGCCUUUCGAAAGGAAGAUCAAUACUCCAUAAUAUAUUUAACGUCAUCGUUUAAUAUUGAAAGCUCCGGCGGAUAUAGAUGGGCACGCGCAAGGUUAGCUAGUUGGUGAGGUAACGGCGCACCAAGGCGAUGAUCUUGAGGGGACCUGAGUGGGUGAUCCCCCACACUGGUACUGAGACACGGACCAGACUCCGACGGGAGGGAGCAGUGAGGACUACUGGUCAAUGGGUGCAAGCCUGAACCAGCCACCCCGCGUGAAGGACGACUGCCCUAUGGGUUGUAAACUUCUUUUGUAGAGGGAUAAACCUACCCUCGAGAGGGUAGCUGAAGGUACUAUACGAAUAAGCACCGGCUAACUCCGUG